rnacentral:rRNA from 1 species
GAGGAAAAGAAACUAACAAGGAUUCCCCUAGUAACGGCGAGUGAAGCGGGAAGAGCUCAAAUUUGUAAUCUGGCACUUUCAGUGUCCGAGUUGUAAUCUCGAGAAGUGUUUUCCGCGCCGGACCGCAUACAAGUCUGUUGGAAUACAGCGUCAUAGUGGUGAGAACCCCGUAACUGAUGCGGAUGCCCGGUGCUUUGUGAUACACUUUCGAAGAGUCGAGUUGUUUGGGAAUGCAGCUCAAAUUGGGUGGUAAAUUCCAUCUAAAGCUAAAUAUUGGCGAGAGACCGAUAGCGAACAAGUACCGUGAGGGAAAGAUGAAAAGCACUUUGGAAAGAGAGUUAACAGUACGUGAAAUUGUUGGAAGGGAAACGAUUGAAGUCAGACUUGUUAUCUGGAGUUCAGCCUUUCGGUGUACUCUCCAGUUUACAGGCCAGCAUCAGUUUUCGGGGCGGGAAAAUCGUAAUUAGAAGGUAGCAGCCUAGCUGUGUUAUAGCUUUUUACUGGAUUCCGCUUUGGGGACUGAGGAACGCAGUGUGCUUUUAGCAAUACCCUCGGGUAUUUCACACUUAGG